AUCAAUUUACUCAAAUUCACUUUAAAAAAAUAAUAGUAUUGUAUCUCAUACUACAGUUUACAUACAACGCUACUGAUCAAACCCUAUCCCUAAUCUUAUCACCUUUGCAAAUCGGAUUUUCCCUCUCAAUAACAAUUUUCCCGGCGCUCUUGAAAUCGAAACUGCAUGGAUGAGCCUCCGGGGACCUGUGCCUCCCGCAGAAUGUCCCGCCACACCGGCACUCAAACCCUAACAAUCCCACCUUUUUCCUGCACAAUCCACAUCUGCUUUUAAUCACAACCGGAGGCGCAGAAACUGAUGGAUUAUCGCUAUGAAUCUCGGUAAUUUUCGCAGAACUCGACACAUCAAUCGGGUUUUCAAUCCCUAAUUGAGCUGAUUUUACUGCCGCUUGUGACUUGGCCAUUGUUUCUUUGAGGUAAUCGCGACAGCACUUGGAACAGAGGCCGCGAUUCUCCGUCGAGCCGAAGAACCCGCACCGCGGGAGCAGAGGCGGGGGGUUCCGCCGGGUGGCCGUCGCCGCAGGAUGAUUGAUUUGCAUAUGGAUGAAGAGAUCGAGUGGAUUUGAUGAAUAUAUAGAGAGAUUAGAGAGAAGCUGGGCAUAUAUGUAGGGAUUUGGAUGAUAAUCAGAGUCAGAAACGGAAUUAGAAUUGGGUGAGUUCUUGAACUACAAAAUCUAGUUAUAAUAGGAAACUUGAUCUGAUUGAAGUAGGAGGAUAUAUGUUUGGACCCUUCUUUCCAUAUUACAACUAUAAUUUCUUUCGAUGAUAGUACUUCAUUGUUUAUGGAAUAUAUGUAUAUUAAUAUUGUUAAAAUUUUAUUUCUUAAUUUUA